GCCAGACAUGGUGGCAUUUGCCUGUAGUCCCAGCCACUUGGGAGGCUGAGGUGGGAGUAUCACUUGAGCCCAGGAGUUCUGGGCUAUAGUGCACUAUGCUGAUCGGGUGUCCACACUAAGUUCAGCAUCAAUAUGGUGACCUCCUGGGAGCAGGGGACCACCAGGUUGCCUAAGGAGGGGUGAACUGGCCCAGGUCGGAAACAGAGCAGGUCAAAACUCCCGUGCUGAUCAGUAGUGGGAUCACACCUGUGAAUAGCCACUGCACUCCAGCCUGGGCAACAUAGCAAGACCCCAUCUUUA
ensembl:misc_RNA Metazoa_SRP Metazoan signal recognition particle RNA